UACGUAGGGUGCGAGCGUUGUCCGGAAUUAUUGGGCGUAAAGAGCUUGUAGGCGGUUUGUCGCGUCUGCUGUGAAAAUCCGAGGCUCAACCUCGGACUUGCAGUGGGUACGGGCAGACUAGAGUGUGGUAGGGGGAGACUGGAAUUCCUGGUGUAGCGGUGGAAUGCGCAGAUAUCAGGAGGAACACCGAUGGCGAAGGCAGGUCUCUGGGCAUUAACUGACGCUGAGGAGCGAAAGCAUGGGGGAGCGAACAGG
rnacentral:rRNA from 1 species